rnacentral:rRNA from 1 species
UCAUUCGGAUCGGAGUCUGNAACCCGACUCCGUGAAGCUGGAUUCGCUAGUAAUCGCGCAUCAGCCAUGGCGCGGUGAAUACGUUCCCGGGCCUUGUACACACCGCCCGUCAAGCCAUGGAAGCCGGGGGCGCUUGAAGUGCGUUGCCGCAAGGCGCGCCCUAGAGCGAAACCGGUGACUGGGGCUAAGUCGUAACAAGGUACC